AAGUCGUAACAAGGUUUCCGUAGGUGAACCUGCGGAAGGAUCAUUAUCUAUUCCAUGAGGUGUGGUCGCGGCCCCCGGGGGGGGCUAAACUCCCCCAGGGCGGUAGAGGUAACACUUUCACGCGCCACAUGUCUGAAUCCUUUUUUUACGAGCACCUUUCGUUCUCCUUCGGUGGGGCAACCUGCCGCUGGAACUUAACAAUAACCUUUUUUGCAUCUAGCAUUACCUGUUCUGAUACAAACAAUCGUUACAACUUUCAACAAUGGAUCUCUUGGCUCUG
rnacentral:misc_RNA from 1 species